rnacentral:rRNA from 1 species
GAUGAACGCUGGCGGCGUGCCUAAUACAUGCAAGUCGAGCGAACGGACGAGAAGCUUGCUUCUCUGAUGUUAGCGGCGGACGGGUGAGUAACACGUGGAUAACCUACCUAUAAGACUGGGAUAACUUCGGGAAACCGUAGCUAAUACCGGAUAAUAUUUUGAACCGCAUGGUUCAAAAGUGAAAGACGGUCUUGCUGUCACUUAUAGAUGGAUCCGCGCUGCAUUAGCUAGUUGGUAAGGUAACGGCUUACCAAGGCAACGAUGCAUAGCCGACCUGAGAGGGUGAUCGGCCACACUGGAACUGAGACACGGUCCAGACUCCUACGGGAGGCAGCAGUAGGGAAUCUUCCGCAAUGGGCGAAAGCCUGACGGAGCAACGCCGCGUGAGUGAUGAAGGUCUUCGGAUCGUAAAACUCUGUUAUUAGGGAAGAACAUAUGUGUAAGUAACUGUGCACAUCUUGACGGUACCUAAUCAGAAAGCCACGGCUAACUACGUGCCAGCAGCCGCGGUAAUACGUAGGUGGCAAGCGUUAUCCGGAAUUAUUGGGCGUAAAGCGCGCGUAGGCGGUUUUUUAAGUCUGAUGUGAAAGCCCACGGCUCAACCGUGGAGGGUCAUUGGAAACUGGAAAACUUGAGUGCAGAAGAGGAAAGUGGAAUUCCAUGUGUAGCGGUGAAAUGCGCAGAGAUAUGGAGGAACACCAGUGGCGAAGGCGACUUUCUGGUCUGUAACUGACGCUGAUGUGCGAAAGCGUGGGGAUCAAACAGGAUUAGAUACCCUGGUAGUCCACGCCGUAAACGAUGAGUGCUAAGUGUUAGGGGGUUUCCGCCCCUUAGUGCUGCAGCUAACGCAUUAAGCACUCCGCCUGGGGAGUACGACCGCAAGGUUGAAACUCAAAGGAAUUGACGGGGACCCGCACAAGCGGUGGAGCAUGUGGUUUAAUUCGAAGCAACGCGAAGAACCUUACCAAAUCUUGACACCCUUUGACAACUCUAGAGAUAGAGCCUUCCCCUUCGGGGGACAAAGUGACAGGUGGUGCAUGGUUGUCGUCAGCUCGUGUCGUGAGAUGUUGGGUUAAGUCCCGCAACGAGCGCAACCCUUAAGCUUAGUUGCCAUCAUUAAGUUGGGCACUCUAAGUUGACUGCCGGUGACAAACCGGAGGAAGGUGGGGAUGACGUCAAAUCAUCAUGCCCCUUAUGAUUUGGGCUACACACGUGCUACAAUGGACAAUACAAAGGGCAGCGAAACCGCGAGGUCAAGCAAAUCCCAUAAAGUUGUUCUCAGUUCGGAUUGUAGUCUGCAACUCGACUACAUGAAGCUGGAAUCGCUAGUAAUCGUAGAUCAGCAUGCUACGGUGAAUACGUUCCCGGGUCU